CGCAAUGGGCGAAAGCCUGACGGAGCAAUACCGCGUGAAGGAUGAAGGCCUAUGGGUCGUAAACUUCUUUUUUCAGAGAAGAAUUUUGACGGUAUUUGAGGAAUAAGCAUCGGCUAACUCUGUGCCAGCAGCCGCGGUAAGACAGAGGAUGCAAGCGUUAUCCGGAAUGAUUGGGCGUAAAGCGUCUGUAGGUGGUUUACCAAGUCUUCUGUCAAAGAUCAGGGCUUAACUCUGGGCAGGCAGGAGAAACUAUUAGACUAGAGUUCGGUAGGGGCAGAGGGAAUUCCCGGUGGAGCGGUGAAAUGCGUAGAUAUCGGGAGGAACACCAAAGGCGAAAGCACUUUGCUGGGCCGCCAACUGACCACUGAGGGGAAGAAAGCGA
rnacentral:rRNA from 1 species